AGUGAACGCUGGCGGUAGGCCUAACACAUGCAAGUCGAACGGCAGCACAGUAAGAGCUUGCUCUUACGGGUGGCGAGUGGCGGACGGGUGAGGAAUACAUCGGAAUCUACUUUUUCGUGGGGGAUAACGUAGGGAAACUUACGCUAAUACCGCAUACGACCUACGGGUGAAAGCAGGGGAUCUUCGGACCUUGCGCGAUUGAAUGAGCCGAUGUCGGAUUAGCUAGUUGGCGGGGUAAAGGCCCACCAAGGCGACGAUCCGUAGCUGGUCUGAGAGGAUGAUAAGCCACAUUGGAACUGAGACACGGUCAAGACUCCUACGGGAGGCAGCAGUGGGGAAUAUUGGACAAUGGGCGCAAGCCUGAUCCAGCCAUACCGCGUGGGUGAAGAAGGCCUUCGGGUUGUAAAGCCCUUUUGUUGGGAAAGAAAAGCAGCAGGUUAAUACCACGCGGUUCUGACGGUACCCAAAGAAUAAGCACCGGCUAACUUCGUG
rnacentral:rRNA from 1 species